rnacentral:rRNA from 1 species
UACGUAGGGGGCAAGCGUUGUCCGGAUUUAUUGGGCGUAAAGCACGCGUAGGCGGCGCGGUAUGUCGUGCGUGAAAUCUCCCGGCUUAACUGGGAGGGGCCGUGCGAAACUGCCGGGCUUGAGGUCGGAAGGGGAAAGUGGAAUUCCGGGUGUAGUGGUGGAAUACGUAGAUAUCCGGAGGAACACCAGCGGCGAAGGCGGCUUUCUGGUCCGAUACUGACGCUGAGGUGCGAAAGCGUGGGGAGCGAUCCGG